AGGUUACUGCUAUCGGGGUCCGACUAAGCCAUGCGAGUCGAGAGGGUAAAGCCCUCGGCGUAAUGCUCAGUAACACGCGGAUAACCUGCCCUUGGGUCCGGGAUAACCCCGGGAAACUGGGACUAAUACCGGAUAGAUCAAAGAUACUGGAAUGUUCUCUGGUCCAAAACUCCGGUGCCCAAGGAUGGGUCUGCGGCCUAUCAGGUUGUAGUGGGUGUAACGUACCUACUAGCCUACGACGGGUAAGGGUUGUGAGAGCAAGAUCCCUGAGAUGGAUUCUGAGACAUGAAUCCAGGCCCUACGGGGUGCAGCAGGCGCGAAACCUUUACACUGCGGGAAACCGCGAUAAGGGGACCCCGAGUGCCAGCACCUAGUGCUGGCUGUCCCGCUGUCUAAAUAACAGUGGUUAGCAAGGGCCGGGCAAGACCGGUGCCAGCCGCCGCGGUAACACCGGCGGCCCGAGUGGUAGCCGCUAUUAUUGGGUUUAAAGGGCCCGUAGCCGGC
rnacentral:rRNA from 1 species